rnacentral:rRNA from 1 species
GACGAACGCUGGCGGCGUGCUUAACACAUGCAAGUCGAACGGAAAGGCCCUGCUUUUGUGGGGUGCUCGAGUGGCGAACGGGUGAGUAACACGUGAGUAACCUGCCCUUGACUUUGGGAUAACUUCAGGAAACUGGGGCUAAUACCGGAUAGGAGCUCCUGCUGCAUGGUGGGGGUUGGAAAGUUUCGGCGGUUGGGGAUGGACUCGCGGCUUAUCAGCUUGUUGGUGGGGUAGUGGCUUACCAAGGCUUUGACGGGUAGCCGGCCUGAGAGGGUGACCGGCAACAUUGGGACUGAGAUACGGCCCAGACUCCUACGGGAGGCAGCAGUGGGGAAUAUUGCACAAUGGGCGGAAGCCUGAUGCAGCAACGCCGCGUGCGGGAUGACGGCCUUCGGGUUGCAAACCGCUUUCGCCUGUGACGAAGCGUGAGUGACGGUAAUGGGUAAAGAAGCACCGGCUAACUACGUG